UUCUCUGUGGCACGACAGGCAUGUCAGAGUGCUUGCUUUCAUGGUCCUAGAGGACUAGCUGAUUGUACGGUGCAUCAUCAGAGAUUUCACAUACCUCAGAUGCGUCUCAAAUUGACACGGUCUGCAUGCUGCCUAUGUUGCGAACAGUCAAACAUAUCAGAUGGGACGCUCGGCCGGGCUACAAAAUGAUAAAAACAUGUCAGUUUUGUAACCCCAACAGCUGAUCACGAUUUAUCAUCAAUUGCAGAUGCAGAGUUAUGAAUGGAUCUAGCUGAAACAUUCCCCAUUUGGCUGCAGUGUUUCAUAGUCAGUUGCAAAACCACAUGUGCAGUUCAUAGGUUCUUGAAUGAUUGGAUUUGGGAAAGAGAGUUUAGCCACACACCAAAGUGCAGACUCUGGCUCACUAUGAGGCGGUGGUGGUCUAGUUGGUGGCGGGUAUAAAAUCGGUGGCUCAAAUAGAGGUGGUGCAGGUAUGAACCUUGUAGAUGAAGGAUAUGAAGAUGUUGGUGGGCAUGGUUCAUUAUUAUAAGGAGGGCUUAGACCAGGGCUCGGCUCAUAGUUUUAUGGAGGGGUUAGACCAGGGCUCGGCUCAUAGUUUUAUGUAGGGGUCAGACCAGGGCUCGGUUCAUAGUUUUAAGGUGGUCUCAGACCAGGGUCACGUUCAUGCAAUUUGCUAUGUCAUUGAGCUGAAUGUAGAAGACUACUGAUGUUAUUUGAAACUCAUGGUGGAAUCUUGCGUUUGCUAAUGAUCAGUGUAUCUACAACUGGUUGAUCUGGUAGGAACAGAUUGAUAGUGAAAAACGAAAUACUGCUCCUACAACUGGUUGAUCUGGUAGGACUUAGGAGCAAGUCGAUUUGGUAAUUUGUGUUUUCUAACUCUUGUCACUGUGGUCUUGUAAGUUAGUUUACACGUUCAUUGCUUGAGCUUUCAUAUAAGUAAUACUAAAUACUGUUACAGUUA